rnacentral:lncRNA from 10 species
UUCACAGCGAGCCCUGCUGGCACUGGGGGCCUGCAUUCCAGUUUUCCUCCCCAGCUGUGGGAUGCUGUUGGCGCCUUGGUGCCAGCCGCUGAGGUGAGCAGGUGGGUGAGGGGCUCCGUGAAGCUCUGGCAUCUGGUGUCCGGCCCAGGACUUGGGGGUGCUGGCCUCGCCGCCUGGCCGGGUCAUACAUAAGGGGUCGGUCAGCUCUGCCCCAGGCCAGGAUGCUGCUGGGCCCACAGCCGCCCCAGGACCCCCUCAGCCCAGGUGCCCUCCCUCAGUGCUCAGUUCCGGGGAUGACUGUGUCCCCCACCCCGUCACGCUGCUCAGCGAGCACCCUGUAAUCCCAUAUGGUAACUCAUGAAUCUACCCACUAAGAAACCACAACAUGUGAUUCCUCGAGGGAGGCUGGGGGGUAGUCGCGGAGUCGUGGCUGGGCCCAGCCGCGGACUCAGGUCUGUGAUGGGCUAACCUGUGCCCCCACAUCCGCAGGUGGGCGGCCUGACCCUAGACUCAGAGCGUGACUUCUUUGGAGACAGGGUCAUUGAAGGUGUGUGUGACGAUGAGGCCACGGGGUCACCCCUGACCAGUGUGACCAGUGUCCUUAUAAAAGGGGCGUGGACCCAGGCGGGCCUAGAGGGAUGGUGGCACAGAGGCAGGAGAAAAUGCCCACCAAAGCCCAGGAGGAGGCCUGGGACAGGCCCUUCCCGGCGCCUUCAGAGGGAGCCUGGCCCUGCCAGAUGCCUGGUCUCACGUCGGCCUCCAGGACUGCGAGACCUUCCUGCUGUGUGGGUGCCCAGUGCCAGCACUUGCUAAGGGUCCCCAGCCCCAGGAAAGCAGUGCCGUCCCCUGAGCCAAGUGGACCUCUCUCUGCUUCUGUGGCUUCUCUAUAUUUAGUUAUCAUGUUUCAAAGGCUUAUCAAAUCCCUGGGCAUAAAACGUUUUACGAAUCUGUCUAAAUAACGUUCCAAGGUGUCUCAUACUCGACGGAAUCUUGGACGGUGCUGCCCCUUGCAGGUGGCUGGGACUGCCUGGGUACAGCCUCUCCUUGGUUUUCAGCUUGGCUCUGCCUUCACCCCACAUGGGGUUCCGUCUGGCCCUAGCGGGGAGGGUGCUUGGCUCGGGCAGUGGGCUGGGCGGCCCCUGGCCCAGGACGGCUCUGGAGAAUAAGGAGGCCACCACAGGCCGGUAGGCCUGAGACCUCUGCCCCUUCUGAGGCCGCGGGGUUGAGCAGCUGAGCAGCUGACUCUCCCAUGGUCAGUGAGGGCUCAGCAUUUUCUCUUCUGGUUGAAAUAGAAACUGGGAAGUUGGAGGCCAAGAUUGAGGGGCAGGCGGAGGUGGUUCUCCUGCCAAGCUUCCUAAACGGCAGAAGCAGCAGAAGCAGCUAGGGUUAGUGUUGGCUUCUCUCUCUCUCUCUCUCUCUCUCUCUCUCUCUCUCUCUGUGUCUCUCUGUCUCUCUCUGUCUCUCUCUCUCUGUGUCUCUCUCUCUCUGUCUCUGUCUCUCUGUCUCUCGGUCUCUCUGUCUCUGUCUCUCUGUCUCUGUCUCUCUCUCUCUGUCUCUCUCUCUCUCUCUCUCAUUUAUUUCUAGAGCAUUUACAAAUUAAUUUUCCUGGUCUAAACCGGGAGGGGCUGCCAUGAUAAAAUGAAGCUGUUUGGUGUUCCAUGUCGAUCUCCCUGAGACAAUGCACUCCUGAGCCUGCUGGGCCCUGCCUCACAGCUGAGUCCUGGUCAGGGCCCUGCCCCUUCUUCCUCUCCCUUGGCCCUGGUUCCACAGAGACCUAUUUCUCCAGGGCAUCCAGGAAGCACCUACGGUGAUGGGGGAUUGCAUUUCAGCAGCAAUCCAUGUGUGAACAUUAAAACGAUCUCCUUAAAUAUUCAUGGUGACCAUGACCUCAUCUGGCUGCCUCGGGCCAGGGCUGGGUGCAGGUCAGGGAAGGGGGCUCAGGCCCUGAGACCCCAGCCUGGUCCCCAGCAAUACAGCUCCCCUCUGUCCUCUCCUCUCUGAGUCAACCCCUCCUGAGAGCUCCGAUGUCUCCUCUCUGGGGUGGCAGAGGUGGGGGCUGCUUUCCAAGCAAAGAAAUGCUCUGGGGCCACGUGGGAAUAAAUAUUUCAUGGGAGAGCAGACCUAGCCAGUAAAAAAUUAAGCAGCUUUACAUCAUCAGAGAGAGAAAGAAAGGGUUGCCUCAUGUUAUGAGUCUGCUGGUGUCCUUAGGACAGAGACAGGGAGACUGAGGUUUUGGGGUAAAUUAUUUAGGGUGUUGUAGGCUGGUCUAGGAAUGUUAAGCUGAAAUGAGACCGGCCCUGGAAGACGACAGGGGGAGCUGGGGUAAGAAGUGCUGCCUUAUGGAAGGCGUGGCGUGCAGAGACGCUGGCCACGAGGAACCCUUUCCCCGUGCACCUGCGCAGUAGCGCCUGCCUCGCGGGAGGCCCCACAGAUGUUGUUGAAUAAAGGGGCAGUGAGUCAGUGAGGCCAUUUCAGCCAUUUUUCUGUUGCCGCCUCACUCUGGAUUUAUGAAAGUACUUGCUAAUCGACGAUCGUCUUCGCCCGGCAUGCUGCAAAUUCACGUUUAUAUGCCCCCUGCCUCCCCCAAAUCAGCUACGGCAGAGUCAGGGGCAGGGACGGGUGGGCAUGGCCGGGCAGCUGCUCGGCUGCGUCACGCCGGGGGUGGCUGGAGCUGAUUCGGAAGCAGUGAAAUGUGGGCCCGCGUGGCUUCCCUGGAAAGAAAACAGGUCCUUGCCUAGAAAUUCAGUGGGUGACCUAAGAUGAUUGAGGGCUGUGUCCAUGUAAAUUUUUCAGUAAGGUGAGGGGCCAGUUUGUCAGUAAACUCCCUGGUGCUGUAAUUAGGGGGCUAUGUUCAGGAACUGGCUUCCUAAUGUGCAUUGAGGGCAGUGCUGACGCAGCCCAUGUACAUGCUAAAUACACGUGGGAGUGUUUGUGAAGAGACAGGCCUGCACAACACAGGGGACCUGACACUGAGCAUCCAUGUGGCCCUUUCUGGUACCCAGAACUGUGCACCCCCCUGUGCAGCAUCUCACAGGACUAAACAGACAGUAACACAACCCCGAACAGACAGUAAAAACCCGGAACAGAGAGGAACAACCCUGAACAGACAGUAACAACCCGGAACAGAGAGGAAGAACCCCAAACAGGCAGUAACAACCCCCAACAGGCAGUAACAACCCCGAACAGAGAGUAACAACCCUGAACAGAGAGGAACAACCCCGAACUGAGAGGAACAACCCUGAACAGACACUAACAACCCAGAACCAGGCAGUUACAAGCCUGAACAGACAGUAACAACCGGGAACAGACAGUAACAACCCUGAACAGACAGUAAAAACCCGGAACAGAGAGGAAGAACCCCAAACAGGCAGUAACAACCCCCAACAGGCAGUAACAACCCCGAACAGAGAGGAACAAUCCCAAACAGGCAGUAACAACCCCGAACAGAGAGGAACAACCCCGAACUGAGAGGAACAACCCCAAACAGGCAGGAACAACCCUGAACAGACACUAACAACCCAGAACCAGGCAGUUACAAGCCUGAACAGACAGUAACAACCGGGAACAGACAGUAACAACCCUGAACAGACAGUAAAAACCCGGAACAGAGAGGAAGAACCCCAAACAGGCAGUAACAACCCCCAACAGGCAGUAACAACCCCAAACAGAGAGGAACAAUCCCAAACAGGCAGUAACAACCCCGAACAGAGAGGAAGAAUCCCAAACAGGCAGUAACAACCCUGAACAGACAGUAAAAACCCCGGAACAGGGAGGAACAACCCCAAACAGGCAGGAACAACCCCAAACAGGCAGUAACAACCCUGAACAGAGAGUAACAACCCCGAACAGACAGUAACAACCCCGAACAGGCAGUAACAACCCCAAACAGAGAGGAACAACCCUGAACAGACAGUAACAACCCUGAACAGACAGUAAAACCCCAGAACAGAGAGGAACGAACCCAAACAGGCAGGAACAACCCUGAACAGGCAGUAACAACCCCGAACAGGCAGUAACAACCCCGAACAGAGAGGAACAACCCCAAACAGGCCGUAACAACCCCAAACAGAGGGGAACAACCCCGAACAGGCAGGAAAAACCCCAAACAGGCAGUAACAACCCCGAACAGAGAGUAACAACCCCAAAGAGAGAGGAACAACCCCGAAGAGAGAGUAACAACACAGAACAGAGAGGAACAACCCCGAACAGGCAGGAACAACCCCGAACAGGCAGGAACAACCCCAAACAGAGAGUAACAACCCCGAACAGAGAGGAACAACCCCGAACAGGCAGUAACAACACCGAACAGAGAGGAACAACCCCAAACAGAGAGGAACAACCCCAAACAGAGAGGAACAACCCCGAACAGAGAGGAACAACACCGAACAGAGAGGAACAACACCGAACAGAGAGGCACAACCCCGAACAGAGAGGAACAACCCCGAACAGAGAGGAACAACCCCGAACAGAGAGGAACAACACCGAACAGAGAGGAACAACACCGAACAGAGAGGCACAACCCCGAACAGAGAGGAACAACCCCGAGCAGGAAGUAACAACCCCGAAGAGAGAGGAACAACCCCGAACAGGCAGGAGCAACCCCAAACACAGAGUAACAACCCCGAACAGGCAGUAACAACCCCGAACAGAGAGGAACAACCCCGAACAGGCAGUAACAACCCCGAACAGAAAGGAACAACCCCGAAAAGAGAGGAACAACACUGAACAGAGAGGAACAACCCCGAACAGGCAGGAACAAUCCCGAACAGGCAGGAACAAUCCCGAACAGUCAGGAACAACCCCAAACAGAGAGGAACAACCCCGAACAGGCAGUAACAACCCCGAACAGAGAGUAACAACCCCGAACAGAGAGGAACAACCCCGGACAGAGAGGAACAACACCGAACAGAGAGGAACAACCCCGAACAGACAGUAACAACACCGAACAGGCAGGAACAACCCCGAACAGGCAGUAACAACCCCGAAGAGAGAGGAACAACCCCGAAAAGAGAGGAACAACACCAAACACAGAGGAACAACCCCGAACAGGCAAUAACAACCCCGAACAGAGAGGAACAACCCCAAACAGAGAGUAAUAACCCCAAAUAGGCUGUAACAACCCCGAACAGGCAGGAACAACCCCGAACAGAGAGGAACCCCGAAAAGAGAGGAACAACACCGAACAGAGAGGAACAACCCCGAACAGGCAGGAACAACCCCGAACAGAGAGUAACAACCCCGAACAGAGAGUAACAACCCCAAACAGGCAGUAACAACCCCGAAGAGAGAGGAACAACCCCGAACAGGCAGUAACAACCCGAACAGAGAGUAACGACCCCGAACAGGCAGUAACAACCCCAGAGAGGAACAACCCGCAACAGAGAGGAACAACCCCGAACAGAGAGGAACAACCCCGAACAGAGAGGAACAACACCGAACAGGCAGAAACAACCCCGAACAGGCAGGAACAACCCCGAACAGGCAGGAACAACCCCAAAUAGAGAGUAACAACCCCGAAAAGGCAGUAACAACGCCAAACAGAGAGGAACAACCCCGAACAGAGAGGAACAACCCCGAACAGGCAGGAACAACCCCGAACAGGCAGGAACAACCCCAAACAGGCAGGAACAACCCCAAACAGAGAGUAACAACCCCGAACAGGCAGUAACAACCCGGAACAGAGAGUAACAACCCUGAGCAGGCAGUAACAACCCGGAACAGGCAGUAACAACCCCAGCUAAACCAAUAGAACCGGCCUGGCAGCCACUCCUGUUCCAGUGCAGCACUCCACCAUGCAGAGGGGUCGGAGAAGCAGUUGUAGGUCACAGCAAGGAGUGGGCCGUGGGGAUCAUGGCCAGGUCGUGAAAUCCAAGUGGCACCCGCCAUGGCACCAGCCAGAACAGGUCCCCUCCUUUCCAAAGGGCAGAGCUGGGGCUGGCCCUGGAGAUGCUGGGGUCAGCAAGGGCUGGGGCUGCGCUCCCUCCUGGGUCUGUGUCAAAAGCAGCCAGCACCGAAGCCUGUCCACAUCGGCCAGGCCCUGUGCAAGCCGCGCUUCCCAGCAGACGGCACGGAAUUGCUGGUGAGAGUGGACGCUGGGCCGGAACAGAGCGGCGCUUCCUG